GUAAGUUCCGACCCGCACGAAAGGCGUAACGAUUUGGGCACUGUCUCAACGAGAGACUCGGUGAAAUCAUAGUACCUGUGAAGAUGCAGGUUACCCGCGACAGGACGGAAAGACCCCGUGGAGCUUUACUGUAGCCUGAUAUUGAAAUUCGGCACAGCUUGUACAGGAUAGGUAGGAGCCUUUGAAACGUGAGCGCUAGCUUACGUGGAGGCGUUGGUGGGAUACUACCCUAGCUGUGUUGGCUUUCUAACCCGCACCACUUAUCGUGGUGGGAGACAGUGUCAGGCGGGCAGUUUGACUGGGGCGGUCGCCUC
rnacentral:rRNA from 13 species